GGGAUUUGACCUGAGUCCCCUGUACGUUUUCUCUCUUCUCAUGCUGCUCUGGGCGUUUGCCAGCUGGUUAGGGAGAAUGAACCACC